CGGAUGUCACCAGGGUAUGUCGAGUUUUUUUUUAUCUCGGUCCUUUCCAACAAAAACUUGCCCCGCACGUCUCUAAUGUAGGAGCUGGGUAGCCAUCAUGAGGAUAACAUGCGACUCAGUUUGGGGAGAAGUCAAAAUCAAGCAUUUGAUGGCCUUCAUUGAACAGGAAGCCAAUGAGGAAGCAGAAGAAAUUGAUGCAAAGUCCUCCCGGUUUUGACCCCUGCCUGACUCUGGACUACUUUCCUGCCUGCCUGAUCAUCCUGCCUGCCCUGACCUUGAUUCUGCCUGCCCUUCGGUACCUAUUGGACUCUGAUCUGGUUUUGAACUUUUUGCCUGUCCACGACCAUUCUCUUGCUUACCCCUUUGGAUUAAUAAACAUUGUAAGACUCCAACCAUCUGCCUCCUGUGUCUGCAUCUGGGUCUCGCCUUGUGCCGUGAUAGAUUGCAAGUUGGCCAAUAAUACCAAGGGUAGUGGGGGUUUAGCUACUCGUUGCGAAUUCUUACAAGACACUCCGCCCUCCUGCAUUUUUUUCUCUGUCUUUUCUUCACGCUAAUGACAGGGAUUUGGGCCUUGUCUUGACAAAGCAGUAUAUCCUUCACGUCGGACUCAUUAAAGAAAAAUGAUUUGUCCAGUUCGAGGUGAGUAAUUGCUGUUCUGAUGUCCAGAAGCUAUUUUCGGUCAUAAGAGACGGCAGCAGCAACAUUAUGUACAAAAUGAGUUACAAACAAUGUGAAAAAACUAAUUAAAUAGCACAGUUGGUUGGGAGCCGGUAAAAUGGCGGCCCUCCCCUACGGUGCCAUUAUUAUGUUAUUGGAUUGUGUAUUUGUGCCAUUCAGAGAGUGAAUGGGCAAGACAAAAGAUUUAAGUGCCUUUGAACGGGAUAUGGUGGUAGGUGCCAGGCACACCGGUUUAAGUUCAUGAAGAACUGCAACGAUGCUGGGUUUUUAACUCAUCAAGAAUGGUCCACCACCCAAAAGACAUCCAGCCAACUUGACACAACUAUGGGAAGCAUUGGAGUUAUAUUGUUAGGGAUACUUUGUCGAGAGUCACCUCUAUUUUUUGGCUUCUGUUCACUUUUUCAUGAUUGAUUGCAGCUUGUUUUAGCUCUGGAGGCAUUGAGAUUGUGGCCUUCACCGUGUGCUGCUACUUUAAGAGUGCAAUAGCAGUAAGGAAGGAGGAAAUAAAGACGUCUCUUUCAGCUCUCUGGGAGAGAGCUCUUGGUUGGCGCAACAGUUUGAUUGCGUGUGCUAUGCUGCAGAAGUCCUUGUUUAUUUUCAGCGUGUUUAGUUUAUAAAGUGUUUAACUCAAUCAUCGUGUGACCGCUCUAGGUUGUGGUUGUUAUCGUUUUGGACCUUACCGGAUAUGGAUCGCAUGGAUUAGUAGCAACAUUGUUGCAGAGCUUUGAAAUACAAGCCAACAAAACAUCAGACGGUACAACUGGAAGCCUGAAGUCAACAGCUAAGAUCUCGCUUUCUCUUCCCUCUAUCAUUCCAGUACUUUACACUGCAACAGACUUUCUAUUUUCAAAUGCACUUCCCAUUGAUGUUCCUUAGCGCUGGGCUAUUAUUGCCCUGCUAGAACUAUUUGGGUUGACAUUCUAGUUAAAAGGGAGGUUGCUGUGCAGGUAUGUAUUGUUAUUUGAACUGUAUUGAGGUGGGGUGUACUAAUGACAUGUUGCCGAGAAGAUUGUGGACAUUUUUAAGGCCUUUGUUUUGUCUAUGAACACCCCCCACAUUCAUACCCUCUGCACUCCUCCACUAGAAGGUAAUACAGAUUAUUUACCUAUCAUGCAGAUUAGGGGUUAGAAAUCACAGUACAAAUACCCCAAGCACUAACCCGAGUAUGUCUCGGGUACAACUCCAGCUGGAUGGGGUCGAUUUGAAAUUAAGUGAUCAAGCUGAUCUUAACUACCUCAAUAUGCUUUUGUGAGAUCUGUUGAUGACUACUCUGUGUCGUGAGCAGUACCGGGAGAGAUGAGGUAUUCACUGGGUCCUCUCUGUUUCCUUUCUGACAGAUGAUGCCUGAGGUUAGAGUGGCUCUUUUCGGUGCUAACCUGAACUGUAUAUUUUGAAAAUUAAAAAAUACAAAUUUAUGUCAUUCUCAACUUUUGGCCACGACUGUACACUGCAAUAAAAUAUAUGAAUGCAACAAUUCCAAAGAUUUACUUAGUUACAGUUCACAUAAGAAAAUCAGUCAAUUGAAAUAAAUUCAUUAGGCACCAAUUUAUGGAUUUCACAUGACUGGACAUGGGUGUACACACUGGGGAGCCAGGCCCAGGCAAUCAUAAUUCGUUUUUCCCCAUAAAAUGGCUUUAAUACAGACUCAUACUCCUCAGCCC